GGGUGGUAAUGCCGGAUGCUCCAGUUGGAUGCAUGUCCUUCUGGGAAAGAUUCAUCGGUAUGGGAUGGGGUCGCGUCCUAUCAGCUUGAUGGCGGGGUAACGGCCCACCAUGGCUUCGACGGGUAGCCGGCCUGAGAGGGCGACCGGCCACAUUGGGACUGAGAUACGGCCCAGACUCCUACGGGAGGCAGCAGUGGGGAAUAUUGCACAAUGGGCGCAAGCCUGAUGCAGCGACGCCGCGUGCGGGAUGACGGCCUUCGGGUUGUAAACCGCUUUUGACUGGGAGCAAGCCCUUCGGGGUGAGUGUACCUUUCGAAUAAGCACCGGCUAACUACGUGCCAGCAGCCGCGGUAAUACGUAGGGUGCAAGCGUUAUCCGGAAUUAUUGGGCGUAAAGGGCUCGUAGGCGGUUCGUCGCGUCCGGUGUGAAAGUCCAUCGCUUAACGGUGGAUCCGCGCCGGGUACGGGCGGGCUUGAGUGCGGUAGGGGAGACUGGAAUUCCCGGUGUAACGGUGGAAU
rnacentral:rRNA from 1 species